GAGAAAUUGUAAGCAUUACUUUUCUCUUAUAAGAAAACUAUAUAAAAAUAAUUAUUAAUAAUAAAGUAACCAUUAUUUUUGUGUAAACUUCACCGUUUUGUCUAGUGAUAGAGGAAGUUAGAAGGUAAUGAAAAGGUCUCACCCUUCAGUUUUUGAUUUAAGACUGAUGAGAAAUUAACAAGAGGAUGAUGAUGCAAUCCCUGACGGAAAAUAUAUGCACAAUGGAGCUUCAAAUUUGUCUGUUUUGACUGUCCAGAAUAAAUGGAGGAGAAGAUACGAAAAGAUGAAGUUGAAAAAGAAAAGACUGAGAGCAGAUGAAUCAGGAAUUCACUGUAAUCGUACAAAAUAGCUAGAAGAGAGGCCUGAGCUAAUACCAUAAAGAAUAAAUUAUGUUAAUGAAUUUCCUUUAUGAUAAUCAGCAAAAAAUACAUAAAAUUAUUGGACCAAUUAGAUGCAAUAUUUGAGUAAAAUUAAGCUGUCUUAUAUAGAUGUGAGAAUAUAUGAGGCUACAUUUCUUCAUGUAAUAUAUUUUGUCUAAAUACAUGCGUGUUUUUGGCAGUGCUUGCGACUGGUCAUGUGUCCAUUAAAGAUUAUUUAAAAAAUAAGGUUAUGAUACUUUAUGGAUAUAAAUAAUCUUCUAAAUUAUUUUCAAGGCUUAGAUAAAUAGUAUCCAAGAUUUAACAGUAUAACGGGCCGGGCGCGGUGGCUCACGCCUGUAAUCCCAGCACUUUGGGAGGCCGAGGCGGGCGGAUCACAAGGUCAGGAGAUCGAGACCAUCCUGGCUAACACUGUGAAACCCCGUCUCUACUAAAAAUGCAAAAAAUUAGCCGGGCGAGGCGGCGGGCGCCUGUAGUCCCAGCUACUCGGGAGGCUGAGGCAGGAGAAUGGCGUGAACCCGGGAGGCGGAGCUUGCAGUGAGCCGAGAUCGCGCCACUGCACUCCAGCCUGGGCGACUAAGCAAGACUCUGUCUCAAAAAAAAAAAAAAAAAAAAAAAAAACAGUAUAACGGUGCAUGAAUAUAUGGACCGUUGGUGGUAAAGAAAAUAUGUGUUUGAAUUUCAAGUGGAAUAUUGGUGCUUUUUAUUUGCUCUAGGUGUGGUUUAUCUGUCUAUUCAGCUAUACAUAUCUGUGAAAUCAUAGCUAACUUUUUUUAUUAUUGUUGCUGAUUUCCAUAAAACCUGGAAUUGAAUAAGAUGUCAGAGUUUAAAUCUAAAUGGGAAAUUAUGAUUCAAUAUUGUUUGUAAAAAGCAAGUAUCUGGAUCAAAUAAAAAAUAGUUUUUAUUCAUUCUGAUAUUACUAAUUUUAGUAGACAUGACACAACCAUCUGCUGUUUGACUGAAACUUUGCAAUAAAGAGUAUUUUAGUAAUAUAUAUCACAUGCCAAUGACACAGUCAAUUUGAAUACAUUAUUGUAAUUCGAUGAAUUGUAACAAAUUUGUUCCUGACAUCCCUAAAGGGACCAUGUUUUAUUCAAUUUCAUAACAUUUGCAUUCAGCAGGUAGUAAGUAGUCCACAAAUGAUUACUGCAUUAAUUAUAUAAUGUAUAUAUUACUAAAUUAAUACAAAUAUAGUAGUUACAUAUAUAAUGCCAUUUUAAAGUAUUUAUAAAAAUGUUUCACAAAUCCAAC
ensembl:lncRNA